rnacentral:rRNA from 1 species
UUAAGGAAAGCGGAAGCCGGGAAUGGAAAGCCCGGUGCAAGCGGGGUACCAGUCACUCUGGCAAAUCCGGGUGGCAAUGGGAAGCCGUGAUGCGGAGUGAAAUAAAGUAACGAAGUCCGUGAGCCAUGCGUCAAGAAAAGCCGCUAUUGUUUAUACCGUACCCGUACCGUAAACCGACACAGGUGGAUGAGGAGAGAAUCCUAAGGCCGGCGGAAGAAGCAUUGUCAAGGAACUCGGCAAAAUGGCCCCGUAACUUAGGGAUAAGGGGUGCCUGGGAAACCAGGCCGCAGAGAAUAGGCUCAAGCAACUGUUUAGCAAAAACACAGGUCUAUGCGAAACCGAAAGGUGAGGUAUAUGGGCUGACGCCUGCCCGGUGCUGGAAGGUUAAGAGGAGAGGUUAGCGCAAGCGAAGCUUUGAAUUUAAGCCCCAGUAAACGGCGGCCGUAACGAUAACGGUCCUAAGGUAGCGAAAUUCCUUGUCGGGUAAGUUCCGACCCGCACGAAAGGCGUAAUGAUUUGAGCGCUGUCUCGACAAUGCAUCCGGUGAAAUUGAAGUACCAGUGAAGAUGCUGGUUACCUGCGCCAGGACGGAAAGACCCCAUGGAGCUUUACUCCAGUUUGGUACUGGGACUCGGUAUUGCAUGUACAGGAUAGGUGGGAGGCUGAGAGACAGUAACGCCAGUUAUUGUGGAGCCGCUGUUGGGAUACCACCCUUGCAGUAUUGGGUUUCUAACCAGCCGCCGUGACCCGGCGGUGGGACAAUGCCAGACGGGGAGUUUGACUGGGGCGGUCGCCUCCGAAAGGGUAUCGGAGGCGCCCAAAGGUUCCCUCAGAAUGGACGGAAACCAUUCGAAGAGUGCAAAGGCAGAAGGGAGCUUGACUGCGACACCGACGGGUGGAGCAGGUACGAAAGUAGGGCUUAGUGAUCCGGUGGUAUUAAGUGGGAAUGCCAUCGCUCAACGGAUAAAAGCUACCCUGGGAUAACAGGCUUAUCACUCCCAAGAGUUCACAUCGACGGAGUGGUUUGGCACCUCGAUGUCGGCUCAUCGCAUCCUGGGGCUGUAGUAGGUCCCAAGGGUUGGGCUGUUCGCCAUUAAAGCGGUACGCGAGCUGGGUUCAGAACGUCGUGAGACAGUUCGGUCCCUAUCCGGCGUGGGCGUAGGAUAUCUGAGAGGAGCUGUCCUUAGUACGAGAGGACCGGGAUGGACGGGCCGCUGGUGCAUCGGUUAGACUGCCAAGUCUACGGCCGAGUAGCCAAGCCCGGAAGGGAUAAACGCUGAAGGCAUCUAAGCGUGAAGCCCCCCUUAAGAUGAGAUAUCCCAUUCGAAAGAAGUAAACCCCCUUGAAGACGACGAGGUAGAUAGGGCAGAGGUGGAAGUGUGGCAACACAUGGAGCUGACUGUUACUAAUCGGGUGAGGGCUUGACCAA